rnacentral:misc_RNA from 1 species
GCUGUUGUUAACAAACAAGAUCAUUUGGAAUUGCCUCCUGGUUUUCGAUUUCAUCCUACUGAUGAAGAGCUUAUUUCUCAUUACUUAUUCGAGAAGGUUAUGGAUAGUAGUUUCUCUUGCAGAGCAAUUGGAGAUGUUGAUCUUAACAAAUCUGAGCCUUGGGACUUGCCUUGGAAGGCGAAAAUGGGAGAAAAAGAGUGGUAUUUUUUCUGUGUUAGAGAUAGAAAAUACCCAACUGGAUUGAGAACCAACAGAGCAACUGAAGCUGGGUACUGGAAAGCUACUGGGAAAGAUAAAGAUAUUUACAGAGGAAAAUCUCUUGUGGGUAUGAAGAAAACUUUGGUUUUUUAUAGAGGAAGAGCUCCAAAAGGGGAAAAAUCUGAUUGGGUUAUGCAUGAAUAUCGAUUAGAGGGUAAACUCUCUGCUUUAAACCUCCCUAAAACUGCCAAGAAUGAAUGGGUGAUUUGUAGGGUGUUUCAGAAAAAUUCAAGUGGGAAAAAAGUGGAUAUCUCUGGGAUGUCAAAAUUGGGUUCUUUUGGGAAUGAUUUUGGCCAUUCCAUCCUUCCUCCAUUAACAGAUUCAUCGCCAUUUAAUGGAGAAACCAAACGCCCUGUGGUUCAAUUGCCCAAUAACGUGCCCUGCUUCUCCAUCGCCAUGGAUUCUCAAAGAAAACUCGAACCAAUGGCUUCUUCUUACAAUACUUCUUUAUUUUCUGUAAUUCCUAAUCCAAUCGAUUCGUUUCCUAGAAACCCACAUUCAAAUUCAAUGUAUUCACCGCCAAAUCAGACCUUCUCUGUUCCUCCAAAUCUGCAAUUCCAAAACUCUGUUCUUUUGCAAGAGCAACAGUCGCUUCUCAGAGCUUUAAUUCAGAACGUCAAUGACGGAAACACACGAGAAUCAUUCAAACCAGAGAGAGACAAAAUCAGUAUCUCUCAAGAAACGUGCCUCACCACCGAUGUCAACAACGAAAUUUCAUCUGUUUUUCCAAAUCUUGAAAUGGGUCGAAGGCCGUUUGACAAUUCUCAAGAAGCUCCGCCGGCUCCUAUGGCGCCGAUCGACCUUGACGGCUUCUGGAAUUACUGAAAUUAACAAAGUAAAAGAAGGAGAGGUUGAAGAUGAAGUAUUAGAAGAAAAAACAAAAUAUACAUAUAAUAAAUGGGAAUUUUGGGAUUUGGUUUAGUUAGAAUGUGGGUGUUUGCCUAGAUUAUCAAAA